UACGGAGGGUGCAAGCGUUAUCCGGAUUCACUGGGUUUAAAGGGUGCGUAGGAGGUCAGGUAAGUCAGUGGUGAAAUCCUCGAGCUUAACUCGGAAACUGCCGUUGAUACUAUCUGUCUUGAAUACCGUGGAGGUGAGCGGAAUAUGUCAUGUAGCGGUGAAAUGCUUAGAUAUGACAUAGAACACCAAUUGCGAAGGCAGCUCGCUGGACGAAUAUUGGCUCUGAGGCACGAAAGCGUGGGGAUCAAACAGG
rnacentral:rRNA from 1 species